GAGUCGCGACCCUGGUCCGGACCUGACCUGAAUUGCGACCCCAACCUGGACUGCUCCCCUGACCGCAACCCCUACCCCCGCCCACCAGUAUGGCCCGGCACGUGUUCCUAACGGGGCCCCCAGGAGUUGGAAAAACAACAUUGAUCCAUAAAGCCAGUGAGGUUUUAAAAUCCUCUGGUGUGCCUGUUGAUGGAUUUUAUACCGAAGAAGUCAGACAGGGAGGGAGAAGAAUAGGAUUCGAUGUCGUCACGUUGUCCGGCACCCGGGGGCCUUUAUCGAGAGUUGGGUUAGAGCCUCCACCUGGAAAACGUGAAUGCCGAGUUGGGCAGUAUGUGGUCGACCUGACUUCUUUUGAGCAGUUGGCACUACCCGUCUUGAGGAAUGCCGACUGCAGCAGUGGCCCAGGGCAAAGAGUGUGCGUCAUCGAUGAGAUUGGGAAGAUGGAGCUCUUCAGUCAGCUUUUCAUUCAAGCUGUUCGUCAGACGCUGUCUACCCCAGGGACUAUAAUCCUUGGCACAAUCCCAGUUCCUAAAGGAAAGCCACUGGCUCUUGUAGAAGAAAUCAGAAACAGAAAGGAUGUGAAGGUGUUUAAUCUAUCUUGAAAUAUACACUACCUUGUUAUUUACUCUGUAGUCACCGUACUGUGUCAUAGAAGACCAGAGCAAAUUCUCCAGCUGUGUAUCACAGUCCACUCUCACAGAGCCUGGCUGGAGGCAGAAGCUACUGCAAUCACUGCUGAACUCAGAGUGGAAGAAAAGGGCCCCUGUGGUGCCCACCUCUGUGUCGCCUCCUUUCUACCUCAGGUGGAUUCCUUGAAUGCAAACAACAGGAAUGGACUUUGGCUAACUUAAGUGAAAACAGCAUCAAAAAGCCUUAUAGGCUUUGGAGCUGUCCCAUGAAGCCAAAGGAAAAGCUGACUGUCCUCAUUUCAAGUGGAGCCACAGCCGCCCAGGAUUGACGCAGCCAGGACCAGUAGAAAUGGGAUCACAGGAUUGACGCAGCCAGGACCGGUAGAAAUGGGAUCACGGGACUGACGCAGCCAGGACCAGUAGAAAUGGGAUCACGGGAUUGACGCAGCCAGGACCAGUAGAAAUGGGAUCAGCUUCUGGCACUUGCUGCGUGAGCUCACUCCUCUUGGGGUGCAGAUCUCAGUCACUCCUCUUGGGGUACAGAUCUCAGAGAAGUUGCCAGGGCCUGGCUUGCCCACUUGUUGGCUGGGGGCAAGUUUCCUAGACCGUACAGUCUCCUAAAGACAACCAGAGCACUCUUCCAAGAAGGGUGAGCAGGUGCCAGGAACCAGAAUUGACGAGGUCCGCUCUGCAUCUCCUCUUCAGACAUGUAUUGGCACCUAUUGUAUGCCAGGCCCCCUCUUCAGAUACAACCACCCUGAACCUCAGAAGGCUUCCACAUGCACUCCCUGCUCUUACCGGGAACCUUGGCUCAGCCCCUUUUCCAUGGUUCACCUGUCGAAAUUACAUCCAGGCUUAAGCACCCCUGGAAGCCUUUCCUGCCCCUGACCCCACACAUGCCCCUGUUCCUGCCUGCCCCCCAGACUCCUUCAUUGUCCUUGUUCAUGCCUGUCCUGUCCUGGUCUGCGAGCUCCAUGAGGUCAGGGUCCUUACCUGUGGUGCUUCUCUAUGCGCAUCUCUGUGCCUGGCUCCUGUUUGCCCUUCCACCCCAUCAGCGUGUGUUGAGUGGAUGGAUAUUAUAUGGGCCAAGUAGGAAGGCACUGUGAUGGGAGCAGAGAUGGCCCUUCCUUUACCCUGGGGCACUCGGGAUGGUGUGGUAGUGAAAGAAAAAUAAACAGAUCAUCGGGUAAAGCUCUGGUG
rnacentral:lncRNA from 1 species